UUUGGUGAAGCUAGAGGGUUUUUGCAUAGACCCUAAAGAAGCAAAUUGCUACUUAGUCUAUGAGUAUGUUGAAAAUGGUUCACUACAUUCUUGGCUUCACGGUGAAAAACCUGAAAAAUUGAGCUGGAAAACAAGACUAAGGAUUGCCACUGAUGUUGCAAAUGGUCUCUUAUACAUUCAUGAACAUACAAGGCCAAGAGUUGUCCACAAAGACAUCAAGAGUAGCAACAUUCUCCUAGACUCCAACAUGAGAGCCAAAGUUGCCAAUUUUGGUCUAGCUAAAUCAGGGUGCAAUGCUAUAACAAUGCACAUUGUAGGUACUCAGGGGUACAUCUCCCCUGAGUACCUCACUGAUGGGGUUGUAUCCACUAAAAUGGAUGUUUUCUCAUUCGGGGUUGUGUUGCUCGAGCUUGUGUCAGGGAAGGAGGCUAUCGAUGAUGAAGGGAAAGUCUUGUGGGCAAAAAUUAGCGAUUUUUCUGAAGGGAGUGAAGAGAGGAAGGUGAGGAAAUUGCAAGAAUGGAUGGAUGAAAGUCUAUUGAGGGAAGAAUUAACAAUGGAAAGUGUUGUGAAUGUGAUGACUGUGGCUAUUUCAUGUUUGAAUAAAGAUCCUUCAAGAAGGCCAGGGAUGAUUGAAAUUGUGUAUGCCUUAUCUAAAAGUAUUGAUCUAUUUUCUGAUGUUUCAGAGGAAGGACCAUCUCCAAGGCAAGUCACAGCAAGAUAGACUACAUAAUAGUACUUGCAUAUUAUGUAAAGUUGUUUUGAAGUGGAGUAGCAUUUUGUGUUUUGAGGUUUGUACUUUACUUUAAAGUUUGCUUCUAUAUAAGUGUAAUAUUACUCCUAUAUUAUCUUUUCUAGUAGUAGUGGUAAAUCCAAUUUCGAAUAAGAGCAUGUUUAAGGUUGUUCUAGUGGAAUAUAUAUUAGUACCACAUAAGACACUUGUAAUGAAUUUAUCUUUAUGUUAUGUUGCUUGGAUUCUUCAAAAAUGAUCUUGCACUUGUGUCAAUUCUUUAAAAUUGCAUGUAUUAGUUAUGCGGUUUUCUAAAUUACCUCCUAAAUCAGCUAUCAAACAUGGUAUUACGUAACUUAACCUGCAUAACUCAACUCCAAACCAACUACCAAACGACCCUGAAUGAAAAGUAUUUCCCCUAACUCUUGCAAUAGUUUAAUAUACCUUGGAAAAAGACGUAUCUCAGAAAUAGCUAGUCCAAACAUGUGAAAACAUUCUGGAGAAAAACAACAAAUAUAAACACGAGUAUUUUCUACAAUAUGGUUGACCAAAAACUCUUCUAGGUGGGACCAUCAAAUUGAAAAAAAACCCAUCUUCCUUUAAUGUUAAAGACAAUACCAUAUGAGAAAUUAAACAACAACAACCAAUCAAAUAAUGCAAAAAAUCCCCAUCACUCAUUAAAUGGUCAAAAACCAAGACUAUGACAAAAAACAAGAACUUUGGUAUAUAAACCUCUUAUAACUCCAUCAUAUUAUAUACACACACAUCUCUCCUUCAACCAAAACCAAGAAAAUGAUAACAAGACCAAUAUUUGUUUUUUCACUUCUCUUAUUCUUAUCAUUCAUAUUCAACCAAAACAUAAUAUGUUAUGCACAAGAGCCACCAAGCAUCACAGGAUAUACUUGUAAUCCUAACCAAUUCAAUCCAUGUCAAACUUAUGUGUUAUACAGAGCUAGAGGACCAGACUUUCUUGAUUUAGCCUCAAUUGGUGAUCUUUUUUCAGUAAGUAGACUAAUGAUAGCAAACCCUAGUAAUAUUUCCAACCCAAACACAACUCUUGUUAAUGAUCAACCCCUUUUUAUCCCCAUCACAUGUUCUUGUAACAACAUCAACACAACAUAUGGUAGCAUAUCUUAUGCUGGCUUUAACUACACUUUCAAAUCAGGUGACACUAUGUAUGGUAUAUCAACAUCUAAAUACCAAAAUCUUACUACUUAUCAAUCUGUUGAGGCUGUUAAUCCCACAGUUGUAGCAACCAACAUUGAUGUAGGCCAGACCAUAAAAUUCCCAAUUUUUUGCAAGUGUCCAAACACGACACAAAAUCAACCAAGACUACUCAUAAGUUAUGUUUUUCAACCUAAUGAUAACAUUUCUUCUGUCGCCUCAAGAUUCAGGGUAACCCCACAAUCUAUAACACAAAUUAAUGGAAAUAACACCAAGAUUCUUGAUACCCUUUUCAUCCCUCUUUCUAAUCUACCUAAUCUUACACAGCCAGCAUCUUCAAACACCCCACCCCCACCCCCAGCACCAGCACCAGUAAUUCAAGAAAAUGACAGAAAAGAGACUGUCAUAGGGUUAGCAAUUGGUUUAGGGGUUUGUGGGUUGCUGUUGAUUUUGAUUCUUGGUUUGUUUUACAAGGAGAAAACAGUAAAGAAAGAAAAGUAUGGUGAUGUAGAAAGGCAAAAAAGUUUGUAUCUUGGAUCAAAAAAGAAGUCUUUUGUUGAUAAAGAUGUUGAAGUGAAUUUGUUGGCUGAUUUAUCAGAGUGUUUGGAUAAGUAUAAAAUGUAUAAAAUGGUACAACUUUGGGAAGCAACAAAUGGAUUUGAUGAAGGGUGUUUGAUUCAAGGGUCUGUGUUUAAAGGAACAAUUGAUGAAGAAGUGUUUGCAAUCAAAAAAAUGAAAUGGAAUGCCCGCGAAGAACUCAAAAUCCUGCAAAAGGUAAAAAAAAAAACGUUACGUAAAAUUCUGCAUAUAUACGUAUCCACUGCAGAAUUGCUUUUGUGUACUACUAGUAAAAAUCAUUUUAUUCACCCCCUGCAACCCCUGCACCAGUAAAUCAAGAAAAUGACAGAAAAGGAACUGUUAUAGGGUUAGCAAUUGGUUUAGGGGUUUGUGGGGUUUUGUUGAUUUUGGUUCUUGGUUUGUUUUAUAGAGAGAAAACAGUGAAGAAAGAAGGGUAUAGUGAUGUAGAAAGACAAAAAAGUUUGUAUGCUGGAUCAAAAAAGGGGUCUUUUGUUGAUAAAGAUGUUGAAGUGAAUUUGUUGGCUGAUGUAUCUGAGUGUUUGGAUAAGUAUAAAAUGUAUAAAAUGGAACAAAUUUGGGAAGCAACAGAUGGAUUUGAUGAAGGGUGUUUGAUACAAGGAUCUGUGUAUAAAGGAACAAUUGAUGGUGAAGUGUUUGCAAUCAAGAAAAUGAAGUGGAAUGCUCGUGAAGAACUCAAAAUACUGCAAAAGGUAACAUUUUUACUCAAUUUUCUAUACUUUUGGUAUCUUUUCAAGAAUUACUUUUGUGUAUUGAUAUUGAGAAAAUGAUAAACAUGGACCGACCUGGGUUGAAGUAGAGUAGUAAGUACUUCAUUUUUAUCAGAGUUUUCGAAUUUGAGUCAUCGGAAUGCGAAAUUGUCUUUGUUAAGGAGCAAUUUACUCUUCAUAGGGAAUUUUUCUAUAUAUUUGGUAUGUUAUCGAGAAUUGUUUUUGUGUACUAAUUGAUGUUUGAGAAAAUGAUAAAAUGGUCUAGUAAUUAGAGGUUUUGAAUUUGAGUCUUUAAGUAUAGAGUUAUUUUGGUUAGGAAGCGUAGAGUUAUUUUGGUUAGGAAGCGUGUAUUCUGACAUGAAUUCAAAUUUUAAUCGAACUUUAUAAUGGAUAUCGAACGCCGAGUAAAAAGGGGAAAAAAACAUGGUCCAUAUGUGUGGAGGGUUGAUUCAUAAAGUCUUUAAGUAUGUACUAUUUGAUAGUUUCCAUCUUUUAAGUUUGUCAAAAAUUAGUAUCUUUAAUUUUUCAUAAAAUAUUUAUUGAAUUUAUCUGUUAGAUUUGAUGGGAUUAUGGGGGGGGGGGGGGGGGGGGGGGGAAGGGGGGGAUUUCANNNNNNNNNNNNNNNNNNNNNNNNNNNNNNNNNNNNNNNNNNNNNNNNNNNNNNNNNNNNNNNNNNNNNNNNNNNNNNNNNNNNNNNNNNNNNNNNNNNNNNNNNNNNNNNNNNNNNNNNNNNNNNNNNNNNNNNNNNNNNNNNNNNNNNNNNNNNNNNNNNNNNNNNNNNNNNNNNNNNNNNNNNNNNNNNNNNNNNNNNNNNNNNNNNNNNNNNNNNNNNNNNNNNNNNNNNNNNNNNNNNNNNNNNNNNNNNNNNNNNNNNNNNNNNNNNNNNNNGUGGGGGGGGGGGGGGGGGGGGGGGGGGGGGGGGGAAGGAAAUGAGGGAAUUCAUAAUUAGAGGUACUAUUUUUGUAGAUUGAUUGGUUUUGAUUUGUUUCUAUAAUUUGGUGUAGAUUUUUUAUUUUUUUUAAGAUAUGAAGUGUCUGUAUGCAAUGUUUUCUGUUGUAUAUUUUAGAUUUGAAAAGAUUUUUUUAGUGUUUAUGAUUAAAUAUUUAUUAUUUUUGUCAAAUUUAAUAAACAUAAAUUAUUAAGUAGUUGACGAAGAUUAAAAAUGUUAACUUUUGAUAAACUUAAAGAAUCAAAAUUCAAAACUGUUGAUUACAUAUUUAAGGAGCUAUUUUGAACCUGUUCAGUGUUCUCCCACCUUAGAGGCUAUUUUUGUCAUUUUCUCAAUUGAUAUUUUAGUAAUGUUAAAAUUCCACUGCAGAAUUGUUUUUCCUCCAAUGGAUCAGAUUAAGUAUUUAAUUAAAAAUAUAUGUUUAAUAAUUUAAACUAUUAGGUCUAGUGACCUGUCGUAUUCUUGAGACAUUAGUAGUACUUUAUUUAAAUAUUUAAGUGGACCAUUAUGCCCAUUGGGAUUUGAUAAUUUAUAAUUUAAGCUAAUCAACAUCAUUUAAUACUCAAUUUAUUUGUCCUCUGAUGUCUAUCUUUUCAUUAAAUACUCCUCUUUUUGUUCCUCAAUUAUUCACUUUUUGUUUUCCUUUUUAUUUUUGUCCCUAAGGAGACCCUCGAGCGUGUAUCAAAAAUAAUUUUUUUAUAUAUUAUUUUUUUCAUAACUUGUUUAUAAAGAUUUUACUAGAUAUAUUGUUGUUGUGAUAAGAAUUGAGAUAUUAAAAAUUAACAAGAUGUCUAGAAACAAUUCUUUUUCUUUUUUUGCCAUAGAAAAGAGCAUCUUUUAUUAAUAAUUUAUUUUAUCAAGACAAAGUUCAAAAUAAAUUUUCUUCCUAAAUGAAAUUUCUUUGUCUAUGACUUUCUCCCAAAAAAGCGUCAUGCUUUUAGCUUGGUUUGGCUGUACUACUUUGACUAGAUUUAUUAGUUGUCCUAUUAAAUAAAGAAAACGUCAUCAAGUCCUAUUUUGCAACCGUUACUAUAAUUAGCGCUUCGCUACGAAUAAAUCAAUAACUUUUUUUUAAUCAUGUAUUAUAUAGUAUUUUAUUCAAUUUCAAAUAAUUAUUAUUUAAAUUAUCUAUUGGAAAUAGUAUUUCUACCUCUAAGAUAAUGGUAAGGUUUACGUAUAUUUUACUCUCUUCAGAUCGUACUUUAUGGGAUUACAUGAGUAUGUCGUUGUAAUAUUGUCCCAAAUUAAUUAUGUCUACUUAAUAAUUUCCCCCUUUUGUUUUGUGUAGGUGAACCAUGGGAAUUUGGUGAAGCUAGAAGGUUUUUGCAUAGACCCUAAAGAAGCAAAUUGCUUCUUAGUCUAUGAGUAUGUUGAAAAUGGUUCACUACAUUCAUGGAUUCAUGGUGAAAAACCUGAAAAAUUGAGUUGGAAAACAAGACUAAGAAUUGCAACUGAUGUUGCAAAUGGUCUUUUAUACAUUCAUGAACAUACAAGGCCAAGAGUUGUCCACAAAGACAUCAAAACUAGCAACAUUCUCCUAGACACCAACAUGAGAGCCAAAGUUGCCAAUUUUGGUCUAGCUAAAUCAGGUUGCAAUGCCAUAACAAUGCACAUUGUAGGUACUCAGGGGUACAUCUCCCCUGAGUAC
rnacentral:lncRNA from 1 species